CGGGGUGUGGCUCAGAUGGUAGAGCGCCGCGUUUGGGACGCGGAGGCCCCCAGUUCGAGUCUGGGCACCCCGA
rnacentral:tRNA from 2 species